GUGGAUUAGAUACCCUGGUAGUCCACGCCCUAAACGAUGAGUGCUGGGUGUCCGACAUCUGUUGGGUGCCGAAGUUAACACGUUAAGCACUCCACCUGGGAAGUACGCACGCAAGUGUGAAACUCAAAGGAAUUGACGGGGGCCCGCACAAGCGGUGGAGUAUGUGGUUUAAUUCGAAGCAACGCGCAGAACCUUACCAGGUCUUGACAUGUACCGAAUCCGGCUGAAAGGUUGGAGUGCCCGCAAGGGAGCGGUAACACAGGUGCUGCAUGGUCGUCGUCAACU
rnacentral:rRNA from 1 species